rnacentral:lncRNA from 1 species
GGCGUGCGGCGCCACUGUCCCACUCCACGCGGCCCACGCUGCCCCCGGGUGGUCGCCGUGCACUCUCUGUCUCAAGGUAGGCCAGCUCCGGACUCGCCAGGAGCUGAUUCUGAUCCAUCUGGUUUUGCUGUGUCUCUGUUUAGGUCCAGCCCCCGGAAACACACACCCGCAGCCCGACCACGCCACGAUUGAAGCCCCGGGUCAAAGUGGUUCGGGUGACCGCACUCGCUUCUCGCAACGCCGCCCCCCUGCGGCGUAGGGAACCCCAUCCUGUCCAGAGCGGCCUGUGGCGUGGUGAGUGCAGGCUUUUCUCCACAACUUGGUUCUUUUCAGAUUCAUCAAAGAUUGCGCAACAAACCUUGAUCUUUGGCAAAGGCGCUCUGGUCUCAGUAAAUGCUGAAGUCCUAAAACCACGAGAGGAAAUGGGUGCGUCGGAGCCUGAAACCAGGGCGAACACGCCACGUGCUCCCGGAUCUUCAGAGCCACUGGCUGCAGAUCUGGUACUGCGGGCUGCUCAGGGCCCUGGUGUUCCUCCCAGGCAGCAGGACCUUGGCUUCUGGUCUGAGUGAGGGGCGUGCUUCCUCUCCUGCUCAGAAUUGAAUACCGGCUGACCCCAGUGAUCACUCCAGCUCUUUGAAGCUAACAUCAGCCCACCUGCUCCCUGUAAACAGUAAUACACGGACAGUACCUAUAGCAUAAACGUGAUAGGGGUUCCUUUGACGAAGACAUGACACGGGUAAGGAGAUGGCCUUUACUCCUCUUCCUGCUCUCCCACCGUAGAGGAUGUGGUUACCACUUUAAGACCAUGAUUUAGUAAAGGACCUGUCUGUCCCAUGAGAAACCCAUUGCUGGGUCCAGCAAUCCCCUGGAUUUCCACGGUACCAGCCAAGUUCCUGCAAAUUAGGUUGGAAUGUUCAUCUCUUCAUGAUGGUGUGCCAGGAUGCAUAAAUGGUACCAUGUGAUGAGAAAGAAGUGGCUUUGAAAGAAGCAGCCAUCAGAAGAGACCAAGAAGACAGAGGAAAGGACUCUGAGGGGAACGUACAUGCUCCUUCUAUCACCACCUUUCCCUUGGGGUGUGCGUGUGUGUGUGUGUGUGUGUGUGUGUAUGUGUGUGUAGCUUGUGUGUGUGUGCACUUGCCUGUGGUAGCUUGUGUGUGUGUGUGCACUUGCCUGUGGUAGCUUGUGUGUGUGUGUAUACUUGCUUGUGGUAGCUUUGUGUGUGUGUGUGUAUGUGUGUAUACUUGCCUGUGGUAGCUUGUGUGUGUGUGUGUGUGUGCACUUGCCUGUGGUAGCUUGUGUGUGUGUGUGUGUGUAUGUGUGUGUGUGUGUGUGUGCACUUGCCUGUGGUAGCUUGUGUGUGUGUGUGUGUGUGUGUGCACUUGCCUGUGGUAGCUUGUGUGUGUGUGUGUGUGUGUGCACUUGCCUGUGGUAGUUUGUAAAUAUCAGAGGCUGAGAGGCUGAUUUCAGGAUAUCCUCUUUAAUCCUCUCUCAAACCUUUUUGUUGUUAUUUUGUUUGUUUGUUUGUUUGUUUGUUUGUGGGUAGUUUGUUUUGUUUUUUCAAGACGGUGAUUUUCUGUGUAGCCCUGGCUGUUCUGGACACUCAAAGACCUGCCUGUCUCUGCCUCCCAAGGGCUGGGAUUAAAGGAUUUAAAUCUCUUGA